CAUUAAUAGUAACAUAUAUUUUAUGAUUAUGAAUUUAUGAUUCUCAAUGAACAAUGAUUCUCAAUGCUUUAUGAGUAUUGCCCAUGUGGCAACGCUGCGCGUGCAUAUAUUCAACCAGACGACGGGAACCGGUGAAAUAUGUCAAACUAAGAGCUGUCUAAGCAUCACUCCCUAAGUAAAGGUAAUUUUCUGGAAAGCCUGAAGAACUGCCACUAACAUGAGCAUUGAAAUUGAUUCAAAUGUGUCAAUCCGGAACUUCCUAGCGGCCGGUGGAAUCGCAGGAAUGGCUGUGGAUGCUGGGCUAUUUCCACUUGAUACUUUGAAAACAAGACUUCAAAGUCCUGAUGGGUUUGUCAAGUCAGGAGGGUUUCGUGGAGUAUAUUCGGGACUCGGAACGGCUGUUUUGGGCUCAGCUCCCACCGCGGCUCUGUUUUUUUGCACUUACGAGAAUACCAAACGCUUAUUGAAACAUAAUGGCGUCUUCACUGUUUGGGAGCCAGUUGUUCACAUGACCAGUGCAGCAUUUGGUGAAGUCGCAGCGUGCAUGGUACGCGUUCCCGUCGAGGUCGUCAAACAAAGACGGCAAGCUGGAUUCCAUUCGUCCAGUGUACAUAUAUUUCGAUCAAUCCUACGCAGCGAAGGAAUCGCCGGGCUGUAUAGGGGUUACACCACAACCGUUCUCCGAGAAAUUCCAUUUUCAUUCAUUCAGUUUCCUCUGUGGGAAGGAAUGAAAUCUUUUUGGUCAGAAAAGCAAGGCCGACCUGUCAGCCCAUGGCAGUCAUCAAUUUGUGGCGCUCUCUCAGGAGGAUUAGCUGCCGCGGUCACAACACCUCUUGACGUAGCCAAAACUAGAAUCAUGCUGGCUGAUUCUGCUAGUAUCGAGGCAGGUGGAAAACUCAUGAUAGUUUUGAGAAGCAUUUAUUUUGCACAGGGAAUCAAAGGACUCUUUGCAGGCAUUGUUCCGCGAGUUCUUUGGAUAUCCAUUGGAGGAGCUAUCUUUCUCGGAGUAUAUGACAAAGCGUUGACUACGUUGAACUCGUGACCACGUGCCUGUUUCGAUAGCAGUUCGUGAAUGCCAACAACCAAAUUCUCAUCAAAAUGUGGUUCCACCAAAGCACAGGAAAUAUCUCGUUGAGCCAAUCUAGUUUAGGGUAAGGGACAGUUACAUUAGAACCCGCACAACUGUCUGUUCAAUAAACUUACUGAGGGGUCUGGAGAACGUUCUCCGAAAAUCGUACGACUUUCAGACCACUUCUCAAAGUACACAUGGUAUCAGGAAGUUUGCAUUUACGCAGAUCUAGAAUUUGCUAUUACAUUACAGCGCAUUUUCGAUGAACUGUGAUAUUUUUGAGUAAACAUUAUUUUUCGUAGCUUCUAGGUUACAAACGUCCAAUGCAAAAAAUCCUAUCGUAUCGACAAAUGUAACUACGCAGUUACAAAUUUUUGACCUUAGAUAUUAUUGGCCAAGGAAAAUUGCGUUAUCUCCCUUUACACGUUGACUUGGAUUUCCCGGGGAGAAUCCGCAGUGUUCGUUUUUCUAAAAAAAAAACUAUCCCAUAUCCUGAAAGUUGCAAUGAAACCGAACCAGAUUAAACGAGGAAAAUCCUAUAGAAAUUUAUUUGAUUAACAAAGGGUUCCUGUUGAAUGCCAUCGCAAUGAACAUGUUUCAACAAAACAAAUAGGAAUGGAAACCUGCGUCAUCCAAAUUGUUCGAAAUCCAAUUGUACCGUGCAGUAUCGAAACAUUCUAUUUCUAACCCAAAAUUAACGUGUUUGUAUGUGUUCUCCAUAAAGAGAGAGGUACACAAUCGUAAAUACUUUACAUUAAAAAAAUAAUUGAGGCAAACAUAAAGCUCGGGGAAAUUCCAGUUUGUAACUAACUCUCCUGAGGUCUAAUUGGGUUCCAUCCCUCUUUGAGAGACUAAAACUUCCCCCUUUUAAUAGUGGACCAAUUCCGAGACGAACCACAAACCUUAAUCACCACUUGAUCGGUUAGCUAGAGGCAAUCGUUCGCAGGGUUUCCUGUCCAAAUGUGUAUACACCAGCAAUAUAAGAAUUUUGGUUGGUUCGAUGUUGGCAUCUCAGCUAACAACCGAUUACUUCUUGGGCAGUCAUCAGAAAAUGGACUAAAUUUAGCAUGUCAGCUCUUGAAUUACGAUAUCCGUCCAAAAAGCAUUAUCUCUGAAUCCAUACAAACAAUGGUAGGAAAAGUGGGGUGGCACCAGAAAACUACAAGAUCACGUGAUUGAAUGCGGACGAUAUUUUGGCAAUUUGAUAUUACGCUCGUGGACUUUUCAAGAUAGAAAUUCGUUAUCUAAUUUAUUUCUAAGUUUUCAUCUUUAACUCGUUUUUUGAAAGCGCUCUCCAUUCGACACCUUACUAAAGACGGAUGAAACACGCGCACAUACGCUAAUUUUAAAUUUGGUACGCAAAUACUAACCAACUAGAAAGUUCACAAUAGCAAACACGUAAGAGUUUCUUUUCUUAAGAGAGUCUUAAAUUGGAUUUUCAGAGCCCACAUAAAGCCAUUCCAAUAUUUUCGAAUUAUUUUCUAAUUUAACCGAUUACUAAAUCAGGUCGUGGUAAUAGGGGCGCUUUAAUGCGACGCUUGAUGAGCAGUUUGUUUAUUCGAUAAUUCCUUCGUCGAAUGUCGCUGCAUGUUGCGUUAAAAUUCAGCAUGCGCUCAAAACGUGUGAUGCUAUCAAUCAAAAACGCUGCAUUGAUGGCAUUCCCGCGGUUUACUAUUAAAUAAUUGCAUACUUCGGGACAAUGCUGAUGUGGAUGCCUAUCGUUUUUGUCUAUUAACAAGAAAGUAUUCUUUUCAGAUAUUAAAAGAAAGAUGGUUUCAUCCAUUGCCUCAUGAGUAAUAGCUACUGAGAGAACUUUUGGCAUUACUUGUGCCUUGAAGUUGAACAGCCUCUUUCUCCUUUUUCACUAUGUUUCCGACGAUUAUGGCAGACUCGGCAUUUUCGAGGACGCUGUUUACGAGCAAUGAGACAACCUUGGUAAGCUGAAAAACGAUAGCGAUCAUUUUACUUCAAACGGCAGUCUAGGAUUUUGGUUUAUGUCUUGUGAAGCCUAUUGUUUCGUCCUUCUCCAGACGGCAUAUAUCGUUGAACAUGGAAAAUUUCAUUCGCUUUAAAGCAACAAGUCAUUACAGCGCAUCGGUCGGGAGAGAGAGAGAGAAGGCAUCUAAAUUUAGGUUAAAAUAGAAUUGCGCUUAAAGCUAAACAACCCCAAUUGCACUUGAUUUCGCCAUGUUCUACUUGGCAAAAGAGUAUUUAUUAUGAUAGUCAUUUGAAACUGUUUUUGCGGUGUGUUUUGACGUAAUCGCACUAUGUGGGAAUUAUUCACAAAGCCCAGGUCUUUUCCAUGGUGCCCGCAUCUAUUUCAGAACAAUCAUGUUCAACCACUUUAACGUAACUCUCAUAGGCAGUGACCCAAUUCUUUAUAUUUCAGGGUUAUUUCGGGGUUCAGUUCUAUUUAAAACAAAAUGCCCAAAUUUCUAAAGGUGCAAAAGUUGCCCGCACUUUCCCUUGAAUUUUAAAAGGAACAACGUCGAAAUGCACCUGUUUUUCAUUGCGAUUGUGUAUUAUACAUAAAAAACUGAAAUGAAAUGAAAAUCAUGUACAAGGUAUGAUCGGUAUUCCGUAGUCAUGCGUGAAGCAGACUGCGUCGACAUUGAAACGAAAAGCGUAACGAAAAGAACGACAAGAAAGGAUAUAUAGUCACAGUCAAGUCAUCAUUCUGUUUGCUAGCUGAUAACGGUGUAAAGCUAGAAGAGAAUUCAAAGGGUGAACAACUUCACACUAAAUGCAAGAUCACUCACGCAACGGAACUUGUGGAUAUUACACGAACGAGAUUGACACCGAACGGUGGAAAUUUAAAGAAACAAACUGGAGAAUUUGAAAGAAUGGGGUUGUUUUUAAUGAAAUACGAAUGCAACAUGUUCACGAAUGACUUUUAGAUUUACACGAUUAAGCCUUAUCGUUUAAAUGAAACUGUUUUUUUUUUUUUCUCUUAUAAUUUAUCCAAUCCAGGUAAACAUAUCGGGUUUAACCAAAAAAUAAUAAUAAUCCAGUUUGUCUUUUUUCGUGAUUCACACGCAUUGCUUAAGGCAUAGCUGCGGUACGUUCCACUCGUCCGCGUAGUUUGGCGUGCAUCCGAAGAAACUCGUUGGUGGAUUCUGGUGACUUUGGCUGCUGCUUGGACUCGUUGGUGGAGAAACCGCGCUCCAACUAAAUUAUUUAAAAAAAACGACACGUCAAUAACAGGAAAGAAAAAGUUUUCGAAGCAGCGAAUAGAGAACUUCUUAAUCUCGAAUGUAUAGCAACUUCUUUUCUAUUAGAAAUCAAACUGGAAUGAAAAAUUGCGUCAGUCAUUGAAGCGUCCUGACGUUUAGAUGUCACAGAAAUUGACAAGUGGCGUUGCUCUUCUUUGCAUGGUUGAAUUUUUAAAAUGUAAUCAAUGGUGUACAUUUGAUUAUGUUAAUAAACAAACCUCUUCUAGG